AAAUGGGAAUGCAAAUGACCACACCAGUGAGUGUUCGUCCGGAACUGGGGAAGCAGUAUUCUGCUAAAUAAAGGCAGAAAUCCAUCUUCCCUUGUUACAUGGCUACCUCCUACCCCUGAAACCUUAAAGGUGAACUUUGAUGCUGCUGCAACAUCAGAUAAAGCGCUGCUGGAUUUAUCAUUAGACAUAGGGAAGGCCAAUUAAUUAGAGCUGGUGGAAAGAUGCUGCCGCCCUCUGCGAUCCCCUAUGCUGAACUUGUUGCAGCAUGGGUGGGAUUGCGAACGACGUGUUAUCGAUUUAAAUGCAUCAAAUAUAUGGCUGGAGGGCGACUUCAUAAAGGUGAUAUCAUGGCUUGCUAACUCUUCCUUGGGCAGGUCCUUGCAGAUGCCACUACCUAAAGAUAUUUUACACUGGAAAGCAAACUGGAACAGAUUCAAAUCAUCACACGCAUUUCAGGAGGCAAACAGGGCGGCGACUUCAUUGCAAAAUUGGCUCUACAAGGGGACUGCAGCUGGGGAAGUGGAGAUCCUAUUCACCGAGAUUUACUGUUUAUUUUGCAGGAUGACGAGGUUGGCAUAGGCUACCGGAGAUCAUAGCCGAUAGCAAGAGGAGAAAGGAUCAAUACUUGCUGCUGCAUAGCUCGUUUACUGUAGUAGACGGGACGAUACAAGGAAUUCGUUACAAGAUAGGUUUGCUCAAUGGAUGGUGACUCGCUAAACACUGUAUGAAGAAGCGGUAACAGGUCCAUAGAAGCUUCUUCGUCCAACGCAGGAACCAUUAUACCUGUAGACUGUUACAUUUUGCUAGCAGAUCUGAUUUAAUCUGUAACUAAGACAGUGGGGUGUCGAUUAGCAGUGAAUGGAUUGUAAAUUAUAAACAUGGGUUGUAAGAGUGUAUGGACUGAGUUG
rnacentral:lncRNA from 1 species